rnacentral:rRNA from 1 species
AUUGAACGCUGGCGGCAUGCUUUACACAUGCAAGUCGAACGGCAGCGCGGGGGCAACCCUGGCGGCGAGUGGCGAACGGGUGAGUAAUGCAUCGGAACGUAUCCUGUAAUGGGGGAUAACGUAGCGAAAGUUACGCUAAUACCGCAUACGCUCGAGAGAGGAAAGUGGGGAUCGCAAGACCUCACGUUAUAGGAGCGGCCGAUGUCCGAUUAGCUAGUUGGUGGGUAAAGGCCUACCAAGGCGACGAUCGGUAGCCGGUCUGAGAGGAUGAUCAGCCACACUGGGACUGAGACACGGCCCAGACUCCUACGGGAGGCAGCAGUGGGGAAUUUUGGACAAUGGGCGAAAGCCUGAUCCAGCCAUGCCGCGUGCGGGAAGAAGGCCUUC